rnacentral:rRNA from 1 species
GACGAACGCUGGCGGCGUGCUUAACACAUGCCAGUCGAACGGAAAGGCCCUGCUUUUGUGGCGUGCUCGAGUGGCGAACGGGUGAGUAACACGUGAGUAACCUGCCCUUGACUUUGGGAUAACUUCAGGAAACUGGGGCUCAUACCGGAUAGGAUCUCCUGCUGCAUGGUGUGGAUUGGUAAGUUUCGGCGGUUGGGGAUGGACUCGCGGCUUCUCCGCUUGUUGGUGGGGUAGUGGCUUACGAAGGCUUUGACGGGUAGGCGGCCUGGGAGGGUGACCGGCGACAUGGGGCCUGAGAGACGGACCAGAAGCGUAUGGGAGGCAGUAGGGGGGAACAUUGCACAAUGGGCGGAAGUCUGAGGCAGAAACGCUGGGUGCGGGAUGACGGCCUUCGGGUUGUAAACAGAUUUCGCCGGUGACGAAGCGUGAGUGACGGUAAUGGGUAAAGAAGCACCGGCUAACUACGUG